UCUGGAAGAGGUGCUGGACGGCCCUCGGGAUCAUCCCGCGGGAUUCGGGGGCUCCCGGAGGUUCCGGCCCUUCCAUCGUGAAGGUUUUGCCGCUUCCCGUCUGCCCGUAGGCGAAGAUGCACACGGGGCCCACUUUGAGCUCCUGGAUGUCGUUGUGGAGGCGGCGCCGCUCCAUCUCCAGCAGGUGGAUCCGCUCUUCCUGCUGAUCCAGGAGGGAUUUUUGGGAUCUUUCCACCUCCUGGAGCGCAGCCAUCUGGUCCAGCUUCAUUUGCAGCUGCUCCUGGAUCUGCGCCAUGUGAGCCUGGGGAGAGGAAGAGGGGUGAAAAUGGCACAAAAAGGGCAAAAAAAAGGUGGAAUUUGGGCAAAAUUCCCAUGGUUUUCCCAAUUUUUCCUCAUUUUUGAGAUGCCCCAAGGGCUUUUGACGCCAAAAAGAAAAGCCACAAUUGGAACAAAUCCCCCAAUUUUUUUUUCCCCUUUUUUCUCCCACAGUCUGAGGAGCCCCCCUGAGGUAUUUUUGGUUGAAACCCAGUAACCGUGGUACAAAUUCCCAUUUCUUGCCUUUUUUCCCUUGACUCCUCCCAGUUUUCCAGCCACUCUGUGAGGAAUUUUGGGUGCAAAAAACCGGGAAUUGAUGCUACCCUCAGAUUUCCUGCCUUCCUCCCCCCCUUUGGGACCCCUUGGUGCAUUUCACAUUGGAAAGCACUGAGAAACGGCUCUGGAUUCCCAAUUUUCCCCCCCCCUCCUCCCCCAGAUAUUUUUUUUCAGGAAUUCCAGGCUGCAUGUCAUGGAUUCAGGUGGCUGAAGUUUUGGUAACAGGGGGCCAUAGAGAUAAUUUCGGUUAGAAGCUACUAGAAGCUUUUGCUGUUGUAUGAAAAAGCCAAUGAUAGCCAGUUCCAGGAUGGAAUUCCUACCACUAGCCAAUGGUAUUGGCUUCUGUGAUUGAUAACAUAUUUAAGAACACAGGGAGAGAAGCUGGAGAGAAGAGCAGAGGAAAGCAUGAGAUAGCAAUGUAGGCUCCAAAUUCAGUGUAGCAGGAGGGGGAAGGAGAGGCCCAGAGGCCACCCUCUCCCCCUCCAGCAGGGGAAAGACUGAAAGUCCAGACCCCUGCCACCUGUGUAAGAUUACUGGUGUGAGGAGAUCCCCCUACAGCUCAUGUAGAAGCCCACACUGGAAUAAGUGGUUGCACAAGGAAGGUGAGACUUCGUGGGAGGCCUAAGAUGAAACAGAGUCUUGCUGGAGACCUGUGGCCCAUGGAGAGGGAAACCUACGCUGGAGCAAGUUGUCCCCAGGCAGGACUUGUGGCCCUGUGGGGGAUCUACACUGAUGCAGCUGAUUUGUGGCUCAAGGGACAGCAGAUUAGGGAAGAACUGUGGCCCGAGGGAUGGACCCACGCCGGAGACGUCUGUCGAGGAGUGUCCCAUGGGGAGGGACCCCACAGGAAACAGGGAAAGGACUCAAAGCCAUCACCCCCUGUAACUGUGGUAACGACCAUUGGUGAAGCAAGUCCAUGGAGACCAUCAGAAUGCAGAGAGAGAGAGAAACUUCUGCGCCUGAUGGAAAAGUGACCCCCCAGGACAGUGGACUGGGAAGAAUUCCUGUCUAAGAGAUGGAUUUUAACAGUGGCAGAAGCAGCCACUGGCUGUGACUUCCUCCUCCCUUUCCCAUCUCCCUGCGCUGUUGGGAGAAGGACUGGGAACAUGGAGGGAAGGGGGGAGUGGAGAAAAGGUGUUGUGUUUUAAGACUGUUUUAUCCUUUUACUCUUUAGUUCUUAUUCUCUUAGCAGUAAAUCGAGCUUUUAGUUGAAGUCUGUUAGCAAUAAAUUUAAGUUCUAUUCACUUUGAAUCUGUUUGCUUGUGACAAUUAAUUACUAAGCCAGUCUCCCAGUUUUUAUCUCUCCUCAGGAAUUCUCUGACUGGUUUUUGCUUUUAGAGGGGGGAAGAGGGGAGAAAAGUAAGUGUUUAAAAUCCAGCCAGGGUUGAAACCCUGACACCGCACCUUUGUGUUCUCUAGGUUUUCUGACAGUGCUUGCUCCCGAGCUCUGCCCUCAUCCCGCUCCCGGCGCCGCUGCUGCUCCUCCUCCUCCAGACGCCGCUUUUCCAGAGCCAAACCCUCGGCCAGGGAGCGGCUCCGCUCCAGCUGCACCUCCAGGGAGCUGAGGGGAAAGUGGGGGGAAAUCGCAUGAAAAUGGGCAAUCCCCGAAUUUGGGGCAGGGCCGGGGCCAUUCAGGGAAGAUUCCUGAGGGAUUCCGGGGGGAUUGAAAGGAAAUGGCAUCUGGGCAGAUUUGGGGCAGUUUUGGUGAUUCCCUCACCCUACUGUGGCGAUGAGGUCGCUCUCUCGGCGUUCCCGCUCCAUGAGCUCCCUCUGG